CGGUGUUUAACUGGCGUGAUGUGGGACGUCCUACCGGUGGGCUUAGCCUCGCGAGGGGCGGCCCAACUAAUAUCCCGUCGCGGUGCUCUUUACUGAGUGUCGAGUCGGGCCGGUACGUUUACUUUGAACAAAUUAGAGUGCUUAAAGCAGGCUAUCCUCGCCUGAAUACUGCGUGCAUGGAAUAAUGGAAUAGGACCUCGGUUCUAUUUUGUUGGUUUUCGGAACCCCGAGGUAAUGAUUAAUAGGGACAGAUGGGGGCAUUCGUAUUGCGACGUUAGAGGUGAAAUUCUUGGAUCGUCGCAAGACGGACAGAAGCGAAAGCAUUUGCCAAAAAUGUUUUCAUUAGUCAAGAACGAAAGUUAGAGGUUCGAAGGCGAUCAGAUACCGCCCUAGUUCUAACCAUAAACGAUGCCAGCUAGCGAUCCGCCGAAGUUCCUCCGAUGACUCGGCGGGCAGCUUCCGGGAAACCAAAGCUUUUGGGUUCCGGGGGAAGUAUGGUUGCAAAGCUGAAACUUAAAGGAAUUGACGGAAGGGCACCACCAGGAGUGGAGCCUGCGGCUUAAUUUGACUCAACACGGGAAACCUCACCAGGCCCAGACACCGGAAGGAUUGACAGAUUGAUAGCUCUUUCUUGAUUCGGUGGGUGGUGGUGCAUGGCCGUUCUUAGUUGGUGGAGCGAUUUGUCUGGUUAAUUCCGAUAACGAACGAGACUCUAGCCUGCUAAAUAGGCGUACCUUAUGGUAUCGCGAAGGCCCCCGGCUUCGGCCGGUGGGUUUUUACUACCAACGUACAAACAAAUCUUCUUAGAGGGACAGGCGG
rnacentral:rRNA from 1 species